rnacentral:lncRNA from 1 species
UGUAGGUUGUUUCCCUCUGAAAAGUGUAAACACUAUGACUCUGUCUGCUAUCACAACAUUGCUGUUUGUUUGUGUAUCUCAACCAGUCCAACAUAGCAACAUCUUAACCAAUAGUGUAAGUUUGGGGUGGGGCUAUCUGUUAGCUGACCAAUGGCAGAUUGACUGAAUAUUUGGGAAACCUGUUUGAAAACAGUUCAGUUUUUGCAAUUCAGGUAAAGUCUCAGUUUCAAGGAAAAUUUCAGUUUGCUCUAAUUUUUUGGUUGAUUUACUUUGUUGUAUUCUCAGAAGCUCAUGUUUUACACCCCAAUUUGUGGAAGCAAAAUUUAGAAGUAACAUAUGCAGUAUAUGUCAAUUCAAGGUUGAGAAAAGCUGUUUCCACCACCCCAAAUAUCUCAGUGGUCUAAAGGGAUAAGACCUCCGGACGCCCCCCACUUGGUGUGAGCUCAGAAACAGCGCUGCUCUUUUUUUCUCAGUGCGUGGGCAAACAACCAACCGGUGAUUUUUGGCAAGGUUCUGCAUGGAGACGGCCGUCCAGGGAGCUGUUACUACGGAAAUAUUAUCUGAUCUACAGCAGCUAGCCAUUGAAACCCCGAGCUGGAGACUCCCAACAGAUGGGACCCAUGGAGACGGGAGGAACUACCAUUGGAGACCCCCUCCCUUCCCCGAAGUGUCCUGGAGUGGGCCGGUGUGGACAUCUGUCAGGGUCCCCAGACAGAUGGUCUCGGCUGCUAUGAACUUUCUAAUUAAGAGAAAGUACCUGACUUGGUCUAGCAGAUAAUUGACCUCAACUGGAGUUGAAGCAGAGGGAGCCAGGGGCACUGUCAGCUAAUGGAAGGCAAAUCCGCUACCUGGGGAAAUGGCUGUGUUCACACUAAUCCUCUGGCCUGCAGGCUCGGGCCUGAUUUAAUAGGGGCACUGAGGGGAUAGGGCAUUGUCCACACUGCCUGUCAAGAGCACAGCAACACGUGAGACAGGCUGCGCUGUCUGUCUCCAUCUCUAUUACCAGCAGCGCCGCCAUACAUUUUUCAUUCAUGAGGAGAAUGGUAUAGUGAGGCCUGGAGACAGAUCGUUCUGUGGUGUCUUGUUUAGUUUUGGAAAAGAUGUUGUUUAAGAAUAUCAUUUUAAAUAUUUGAAGAGUUUCAUUUUGCUUGGUUGCAAAACACACAAAAAAGAGCUCUACAUCAGAUAUCUACAUCUAGCAUCUGUCUUUUACACUGAACCACUUGCAGAUGGAAAUUCCUAAGCUGAUAAAGUUUUAAAAUAGAUAAUGGUGCUGCCUGGUACUAGCAACGCCAAGGUCAUCGGUUUGAUUCCCAAAGAAUGCACAAUCUGAUCAAAUAUACACUGAAUUUAAC